AUACUUACCUGGCAGGGGAGACGCCAUGAUCAUGAAAGUGGUUUUCCCAGGGUGAGGCUUACCCAUUGCAUUCCGGGUGUGCUGACACCUGCAAUUUCCCCAAAUGUAGGAAACUCAACAGUAUAAUUUGUGGUAGUAGGGGACUGUGUUUGUGCUCUCCCCUA
ensembl:snRNA U1 U1 spliceosomal RNA